UGUAGUUAUCGCUGAAAAGAUAGAAAAAUGAGUUAAUCAUAACAGCUUGAAUCCAAGUCACUUCUUCCAGAUCUCCCCUCACCAUACCUAACUCAGGUAAAUUUCUUUGCAUGAUUUUAAGAAGCUCAUCAGCACCACCGGCACCAAGGUACUCCCCUGCAAAGGCUAAUUGAACUGUUUUGCCGUCGGCCCGAGAGCUUGUAUUACUUUGAAUAGUACUAAUAUGGAUUCUCAUCUCAACUUCUUUCGGAAGUUUUGGAGCAAUACUUUGCAUUGGAUAAAGAAUUUUUGUUACAUUUUGUUCCAAUGUUCUAAAAAUAGUGAAAGAAAUAAGAGUUUUUGGAACAUCAACUAGAUUUAGUUUCCAAGAUAAAAUAAUUCCGAAACUGGAACAACUCCCGCCUCUAAUGGCCCAAAAGAGAUCUUCGCCCAUUGAUUUUCUAUUAAGUAUUCUUCCUUUGACAUCGAUCAUACGGACAUCGAUGACAUUAUCAGCAGCAAGACCAUAUAUUCGUCUCAAUGGGCCAUACCCACCACCACAUAUUAGUCCGGUAACCCCCACCGUUGACCAGACACCGGCCGGAAAAGCAAGGGUGCCACUAGCUCGGUAAAUCCAAUAGUAUACUUCACCAAGGGUUGCACCAGCUUGAACCGUGGCAGUUUUAGCCUUAGGAUCAACACUAAUAGCUCGAAGAUUAAUCAUGUCUAGUAACACAAAUGGAAUAUCAUACGUGCUACUAUAAGAAAGACCUUCAAAAUCGUGACCUCCGCUCCGAAUCCUAAUUCGCAUUUCAUAUUUUUUGGAGCAAAAUAUGACGGUUUGAAUCUCGGAUUCGGAUACGGGUGUGACGAUGACUUGAGGUUUAAGUCGGGUCGAUUUAUUGAAUCGAGGAUUUCGGAGGGAGAAUUCGUAGAUUGGUGUGUAGGAGGAGUUGAUUGGGGUGUAAAUGACUUUGGAUAUGGAGGAGUCUUGGGCUUUACUUGUGAGGCAUUGGAUGAAUUUAGUAGGAUUAGCAGAAGCUGGCCAUGAAAAAGAUGAAAGGAGAACAAGGGAGAUGAGCAAAAGGAGAGAAAAGUUAUUUGGACUAAUCUUCAUGAUUGUGUUAUUUUUGCUUGCUUUUUUGGUAUUAAAGAGGGGUGCUAUUUAUAAUGACUUUUAUGAAACAAGUGGCAAGUAUUUGCAACGAAUUGAGGACCCAUUCUUUAUAGAGUUAUGACCUUGAUUUUUAUAAAUGAAUCUUUUUUAUAUAUACAUAAAAGAAAGUUGCAUUUUCAUAUUAAAAAAAGAAAAAGAGACAAACAAGAGUGUGAGGUAACUCUCAAAACCACAUCGUUUUAUAUAAUUAAAUAUAUUCUUUCCCAUUCUAUGUACAAAUGAAUUUUUUAAUUAUAAUUUUUCAAAACAUUAUUAUUAUAAAUUAAAGAAUACCUUACGAACGUGAGGUAACCCUCACCUCCUUUGUCUUCUUAAAAAAAAUGUUAUUAUCAGGGUUUAAUUAGUUUUACUUUUUGGGACAUGGUAUUUGUUUAAAUUAAUAAUUGGGGCCAAUGUAGUACGUAGCUAGUAGUAUUAAUUAAGUACAAUGUUAGAAACUUGUGACUCAUAAUAAAGAAGUCACUGGAAAAGAGCUAGUACGGAGCGUAGCGAAACGGAGCGGAGCGGAGCGGAGCGGAGCGGAGCGACGCACUAGCCUUUCAGGGUUGCACCGAACGUCUCGGGGGGUUGCGGGGGGCGCUGGGUCAAGCCCGUAAGGAGCGCGGGGCGCGUUAGCACUGGGAGACCGUCUGGGCUAGUAGCGCGGGGCGCGCUGUGGCGUGCCUUGCAGCAGCGCGGUCCGCGCUGCGUCGGCAACUCAAUUUUGCUGAUUGUUAAUUGGAUUGGGUAUUAUGGGUAAUUGACCAUAAUAUAAAGUAGGGUUGGAAUAUGAUUAGUAGAUAUAUAUACUAUCUAUUGUAAAGCCCUAUGUAACCAAGGAAUCAUCAAUAAACAAUAAGCGGCCGCCUGUGGAGUACCCAAAUUGGGAAAUCACGUAAAUCUCUUGUGUUCUUCUUAAUUCUCUAUCGUUUGUGUGCGUGUGUGUGAUCCUAUAAUUCUAACGUACAAUUUGGUAUUGACAAAGUCGGUAAACGAUCAUGAGAGUGGAUGCAUGAAAGUUGACAUUAAUUUAAGUAGUAGAACAUGCAAGACAUUCUGGUACGGUAGAAAAUUUUUAUUUUGUAUAAAAAUCCUAAGAGAAGCACCCAUUAAUUUUGCAACUCUUAACAACCAACCGAGACAACUCGGCCAUUUUUUCAAUUAGAAAACCGAACCGGAUAUAAUUAUAUAUGCUUGAGAACUGAUAUUUUUACAUAAAAAUUGAUAUUUUUACAUGAUUUCUCUCACAUUAAUAGUGAGCGGGUUUUAACUUCAGGUGAGAGAGACUCACGUAAAAAUAUCAUUUUAACAUACAUAAAUAUUAGUACUAGUUUCCUUGUUAAUAAUACACACGCAAUAUUCUUCUUUUAAAUGAUUUUAUUUUAUCUCCUUUUUAAUUUCUUUUGGCCUCAAAUUCUCAACCCUUGGGGGCCCCUCUUAAUUUCUGUAUUUCUUUCCAGGUCUUUUCACUUUUGCCGCCGGUACCAUAUGCAUGUUUAGAACAAAAUUUUUGAAUGGGAGGGGACGGCGUUGAGACUCUUCAACGCAUACAUUAAUUUAAGAUUCAAGAGCUAGAAAUAAAUGAGAUAUUUGUUCAAAUACGACUAUACAGGCAACAACGAUGGAGUUGAAACUAGUUAAAGCUAUACUACUGUAGUUAGUCAGCUUCCUAAAUGAUGAGCUUCUAAUUAUUAAUAGGUCUGACAUAAUCAUGACAUGUUAAAUAACUACGUACGCCAUUAGUAACGAAAUUAUGACGAGUGUAUUGAGUCAUUACUUUAAAACUAAAAAGACCAAUAUGCAUAUUACUCUCCAUAUAUUAUAAGGAAAAUUACAGCCAACAGUUAUGCAUAUUUUGUCUAAUUUUAUCUAGAUAAAGUAUUAGUUGGAUUGCAAUUUAUUAAUUAGUUGUAUAAUUAAUGCUUUCACUUCGUAAACGAGACUAAGGCUGUAAAAUGCGCAAACAGUUCGGGCUCAAUACGUACUCGUUUGACUAAAAAUUCGAUUCGAGUCCGACUCAAAAUAUAAAUGAAUCAAAUAUAUAUGAGCAAGUUUUAAAGUUCGAUAAAUUACUCGAAUCUCCUCAAAUUGUAAUUUUAUAUUGAUACUCGGAUCAUAUUGGUUAUAAAAGUUCAAACUGCUAGGGCUCGAUUCGAGAUUUUGCUCGACUCGAUAGCUAAAUGAGCCUUAAUCAAAUCUUAUUUUAUACAGAACCCAUCUCAUUCUGAGCUUCAGAAAGCAGCCAACCAAGGCAGGAGGUGCACCUGGGAGAAGCUGUCAGCUAUAAAAGCCAACUGUGGAAUUGAGCUAGCGCUUGAUGAGUGUGUUGCAAUACUCAAUCACAUGCGUCGACUGAAGAGGAGUGCCGAAAGAGCAGCUGCUGCUUCUCAUGGCUUAGCCAGCGCAGUUAGAUUCAAUGCUUCCAAACGAAUUCCUUCUUGGAACUGCAUCGCUAGAGAGAACUCAACGGGUUCCCUUGAAGAAGAAUUCCUUGCAGAUGUUGCUUCCUCGCUCCAUCAAGGAGUUAGUGGAUCCACUGGACCCCCAGUUAGGAAUCGGCGGACCUACGGUUAUGUACAUGAUGGUAGUGACAGUGAAUCUGAGAGUGCUGAUCAAAAUUCUUGGACAAGGUCUGGAGGUCCCUUGAUGAGGACAACUUCAGCGGAUCAGUUUAUUGAUUUUGUCCAAAACUUGGACAUUGAUUCUAAAAUGAACAAAGGAAUAAUGGUUUACCCCGGGAACCUGAUUCAAAUGGCAGCGAGGGAUCCACAUUAUCAAAACUUAAGGGUGAUAACACCAGAUAGAAGCUCAGAUGCGGAUUCUGACCAAAGGGAUCUCCAUAACAGAGUUCCAGUGAGCAGUUGUAGCAUUUUGGUGACUGAAGGCGACUUUUUGCAGCCUGAAAGGAUCCAUAAUGGGAUCGUAUUCAACAUUGUAAAGAAAGAAGACCUGACCCCGUCAAAUAGGAGUCAUGAUUCGGACUUGUUUGCUGAAGAAUGUGUCCAACUCGACUGUCCAGAAAAAGAAAUGGAUGCGAGCUCAACAUCUGAAUACGGUGAUGAUGGCAAUGAUGCUUGUCCAACCGAAAUGGAUUCUAGUGACCCAUAGGAUCAUUCUAGUGUAGCCGAUGGUGUUAUUAAGGAUGUCGGGGAUAAUUGAGAUUCAGUGAUAUGAUGUUUCAUUGCUGUUUCUAUGCGAUGUUGGAGACUGACGGUAGUGUUACUACAUUAUACAUAUAGCAUCAUACUUGAGGAAUACUGGUUCAAAUUUGUAAAUAAGCAGUCUUGGAUCUCAAUUUGUAAGUUAUAAACUAAGCAGUCUUGCAAUACUGCUUAGAACUAGUUUUUUACUUGUUUAUGAAUUGUUGUACUUCCAAAUCAAAAUAAAAAUUCUAGUUAAAGAAUUAACUGUUGAAUUGUUUUACUUGGAAGUUCUUAUACUUGAGAUUGACUAUCUAUAUUCUAUAGCACUAGCACAAUGCUGUAACUUAAAAUUUGGUUUUGUAUAUAUGGUGAAAAUGUUGACUUCUGGUUGAAAAACAACCUUGACGAAGACGUGUAGUUACACUGUUCGGCAUUAUUUUGACUGAUCCAUUUUUUUUUAUUUUUUUCUCAAGUUGACUACUGGAGUUGUAUAUUUAGAUUGAGCGGGUCUCCAAAACCCAAUAUCGUAUGUUUAAAUCAUCUUAUUCUUAGAUUGUGAAAAUAGCUUCACUAACUUGAAUAAUAAUUUGAAUUAAUCUCCUUUGUAUUAAUGAAAGGAUUAUGUAAAUAUUCCAUUCCAAAAAUAAAAAAUUCGAAACAAUCAUUUUUCGAGAAUUUUAAAAUAAAAAAUGAAAGAAAUCUAAAAAGUUCUUUUUUUCCUAAAAUUCCUAGUUAAGCAUAACAAAUUAUUAUAUUUAGGAUCAAAAAACAUCAUGAACUAAUUAGUGAUGUAAGCCAAGUUCUUAAGUGCUAAAAAAAUUAACAAAUCCGACUCUGAAGUAUAUUGAUUUUUAAUGUUAUGAUGAAUGCUUUUCACACAUCCAAAUACUAUGAAUAUUUAUAGAACUUCCUAUUUUUUAAAGUUGUUCUCAUCUCUAUGGUUGAAACUAGGCCUGCCAAAAUAUGAUUAUGAGUUGGUUUUGAUUUAUAAAAUUUGGUUAUGAUUUUAUUUAAAAACUAAAAUUAAAUUAUCUAUUUUUAAUAUGGGUGGUGUAAGUUGAAACCAUAUAGUUAUGAGUCAAAUAUAGGUCAACCCGUAUUUUAAAUUAUAAGCUUACCAUUAUUAUGGUUCAAUUAAAUAAAUUAUUUAUAAUAUUUAAUUUUUAUAUUCCUUCAGCUCUAAUGUUUUAUACAAUCUUCCUCCCUCUAAAAUUUUUUAUUUACUUUCUAAAAAAUAAAAAAUUUUAUACAUUCAUUAAAAGAUACUUCUUCUACUAUUCCUAGAGCCAAAAUCUUCAAUCAAAUGUUCAAAAUUUUCUCUCUCUCUCUCUCUCUCUCUCUCUAUAUAUAUAUAUAUAUAUAUAUAUAUAUAUAUAUAUAUAUAUAUUGAGGCGCUUCUGAUCGGGGGGCCAGGGCAGUCGACCCUCCCGCGUGCUCAAGAACGAUUCUGCUCGCAUAGAUAUCAUUUUCCUGUUACGUGUUAAUAUUGUAUUAAUCAAUUGAUAAAGUUAAUUUCAUACUAACUAUUUUCAUAAAAUUUAAUUAUAUUUUUCCUCUCUAAAAUAUGUAGACGGUGUUGAAACACCUAACACGUCACUAUCGUUUUUCUUGUUUGGACUCCACAGCAUUGAACCUUUCUAAAGGGUACGCCAAGAUGGGUAUAACAUCCCGUUAAAGUUUAGCCUAUUUUCUUUUUUUUCAACCCUAAAUUAAGAGUCAUUUUUUGUCAAAAAAUAUAUUAUUUUCGUUCCAAAAUUAGAGAAACAACUUAAUUUUUGAGGUCAAACGACGAUAUAUAUUAAACUUCAAAUUAUUAUGAGUUUAUUUAAUUUUAAUUGAUACAAUAAUUAUAAUUAUAUAGUAUAUAACAAAAAUUAUUAAUCACAAAAUUUAUUUUAUUUUAAAUAUUUAUGAGUCAUACCAAUUUUAAAAUAUAGUAUGUCGUCGUUUGAUCUCAAAAGUCAAAGUGUAUAUCUGAUUUCAGAACCGAUGGAGUGUUUUUUUUUGCUUCUCAUUUAUAAACUUGUUACUUUAAAAUUGAGCAAGUUAAUUUUAUAUUCAUUCACCUUCAAUUUCUAAUAUUUUAUACAUUCUUCCUUUCUCUAAUUUUUUUUAGAUUUUCUCUCUAAAAUUUUUAGAUUUUCUCAUCCUCUAAUAUAGGUCUACCAAGUUUUCAAUUUUCAAGUUUCAAGUUUACUAUUAUUAUGGCACAAUGAAAUAAAUCUAUAUAAUAAAAUAUAAAUAAUUUUGAAUCUCCCGCUCACUCAAUAAAUCAUCUGGGCUGUUCAAAGUUUGAGAUAAAUUCCACCGUUCAUAUAGUGCCGGAGACACGGGACCCAGCUAGUUAUUUAAUAUAGUGAAUUUUUUUUUAAGUUCUCUGUCUAAUUUUUUUUUUUUACUCUAUAAAAAAUUUUACUCUUUUUUCACACACUCUAAAAUUUUAUAGUACAAUUUUAUAUUUAUACUCAUUUUUUUGGACUUUCUCUCUCUAAAAAAAAUUUAUGCUCUCAUUUAUUUUGCACCUUAUCUCUAAAAUUAUUGAAGAAUUUGACAUUUGUGAUUGCAGUUGAAGAAAUAUUUUCAGCCAAGAAAGAGUAAUCGGACUGUAUCAAUUAAAUUGGAAGCAUUCAAGGAUAAGAAGAAGCGGAAAAGGGGGUUAAAUUAGUUAAUUGGUUUAGGCUUAUUUUUUUUAAUAAAAAAUAUGGGUUUAAAUCUUAACCUAAAUAAUUAAAAGUAGUUGACCAACUUAAAUAGUUUUAAUUAAUAUAAAUUGACCCAAUAAUUUAUAAACCAAAUUAACAAAUCUAGUUGAAACUUGCAAAAUUUUAAUUUAAUCCUAAACAUAAUAGUAUAUUUUAUUUCUUAUAUAUCUUAUUUUUUGUUUAAAAUAAUCUAAAAAUUUUACUCUAAAAUAACCUAAAUAAUUAAAAGUAGUUGACCAACUUAAAUAGUUGUAAUUAAUAUGAAUUGACCCAAUAAUUUAUAAACCAAAUUAACAAAUCUAGUUGAAACUUGCAAAAUUUCUUAUCUUAUUUUUUGUUUAAGCAUAAAAAAAAUGUAGUUGGUAAAAGGAAACCCAAAAGACACGGUAAGUUGCAUCUUUUUCAAAUCAAGGGAAAUUUAAAAUGGAAAAUGAUAUAUAUAUAUAUAUUAUAAAUGUUUUACGUUGAUUUUUGAUUGCUAAUUACAUAGAUAAAUAUUAUUGAUAAUAUUUUUUGAAGAAUUGUGCUGAGACACUUAUAAUUUUUUGAAGAAUUCAAACUGAAUUUGAAUGCUUAUUUGGUGCCGUUCCCAUCCAGUAAUUGCAAAUCGUCUUAAUUACCUGACAAAUUUGUGGUGUCAAUUGAGGAUUGACAUAUUCAAAGAUUCAUCAAGUUUCACUGCACACAGCAGCUACAAGAUAUUACUCCUUUCAUCCUACGAUGUACACAGCAGCUACAAGAUAUUAAUUAAUUAAUAGAGUUUGAUUUGAGAAAGUUAAGGAUUUUGAAAAAAUUGUAUUUGGAACAGGUUAAUUAUUUUGUUGUUUUAAAACUUACAUAAUUCAUAUGAAUUUUUGAAUUAUAAAAUUUCACAAAAUUGACUUUAAAACACCUUGUAUCAAAAUUUGGAAGGCAGGGAAUAUUUAUUCAAUCAGAAUCUUACUUAAUAUUUGUAUAUAUCAUAUAUACUCCGGCAUUAUUCCCAUGCAUCGGUUCCAAAAUUAUGAUACAUUUGUAAUUUUAUAUUUUCAAAUAUACCUUUAAUAUUAAUCAAGAAUUCAAUUAUAGUAAUAGUGGUUUGCUAUUGAAAAUGAUAGUAUAAAAGUAAUGACAAAUUAAAAAUAUCAUAUUACUUUAUAGUACUAAUCUUCCCAUUAACAUUACACACUACAAAUUAUUCAUUGCAAAUCCCUCCUAUACAAGGAGAUCAUUAUGAGUAAACCAAUUUUUUUUUAUUAAAAUCCAGAAACAAACUGGAGUAUAUAAGAAGGCUAGGGAUUUGAAUUAAACAUCUAUUCAUGCAGAUAUUUCAACUAAUUAAAUUGUUACCACUCACGUGAUCACAUAUCUGACCAGUGUGAUAGAGGAGGAAUACUUUGUUCGUGUCUGAAAAAGUUAUUCGGAUCAACCCGUGUUUUCACUAAUACUAACUUGUGAAAAUUGUUGUUGUAGUAGGAUUUACCCCAUUUCCUGGCUCGUAGAUAACUUAUACUACCUUCUCCAUUAUUUACUCCCAAAUCAAGAUCAUCAUAGUUUGAAUACGCCCGUCGUGGGUUUUUGGAAACAUAAGGAGUCAAGUAAGUGUGUAAGCUCCUAAUCCACUCCAACUUCUCUGUGGUGUUUCCAACCCAAAGCACCCUGGAGUACACCAUGUACAAUGUUCCAGCUCUAUUCGGAAAUGGAAUUGUUGACUCGGAAUACUCAUCCAUCUUUCCACCAUAAAAAGUAAAAAUUACAGUUGUUUCACCUACUCCAACUUCUAAAAGCUUUUCCCAUAACCCGUUUAAGCCUUCUUCCGAAAUCGGAUCUCUAACGAAAUCCGAUUUUGCUUUUGUAGGAAUAUCAGCCAAAAAGGUCCUGUCAAGCAAAUCCUCAGGAGUGUAGUUAACGUCGAAAAGAUAGAAAAAUGAGUUAAUCAUGACAGCUUGAAUCCAAGUCACUUCUUCCAGAUCUCCCCUCACAAUACCUAACUCAGGUAAAUUUGUUUGCAUAAUUUUAAGAAGCUCAUCAGCACCACCGGCACCAAGGUACACCCCUGCAAAGGCUAGUUGAACUGUUUUGCCGUCGGCCCGAGAGCUUGUAUUACUUUGAAUA
rnacentral:lncRNA from 1 species